UACGGGGGGGGCAAGCGUUGUUCGGAAUUACUGGGCGUAAAGGGCUCGUAGGUGGCCAACUAAGUCAGACGUGAAAUCCCUCGGCUUAACCGGGGAACUGCGUCUGAUACUGGAUGGCUUGAGUUCGGGAGAGGGAUGCGGAAUUCCAGGUGUAGCGGUGAAAUGCGUAGAUAUCUGGAGGAACACCGGUGGCGAAGGCGGCAUCCUGGACCGAUACUGACACUGAGGAGCGAAAGCCAGGGGAGCAAACGGG
rnacentral:rRNA from 1 species